AAAAAAUGGCUGCAAAAGGUCUUUGCUAGCUUUGUUUUCUGUUCUUCUAGUUUUGUUGCUUUUAUUAUCUACAUCAGGCUUCUUUGCUUUGAAACUUGUACCUUAUAAAAACUGUGAAACUGAGUAUGCUGGUAGAUUAAGCCACCAAGCAGGGCAAAUAUUCAUAUCAAUAAUUCCAUAAAACAUGACACGACUUGUUGUUAGCUACAGUUUGGUUAAACAAGACAAAAUCUUGUUUUUUUGGUUGCUAACAAUUUGACAAGUGCAUAGCACAAUU
rnacentral:misc_RNA from 1 species